UGAAAUGAAUACAAAACAAUUAAAUAUGUGUAAUGCAGGGUUACUAUAGCAACGUAGUGUUGUGAUGCAGAGUUACUAUAGCAACAUAGUGUUGUGAUGCAGGGUCACUAUAGCAACGUAGUGUUGUGAUGCAGAGUUACUAUAGCAACAUAGUGUUGUGAUGCAGGGUCACUAUAGCAACAGAGUGUUGUGAUGCAGGGUUACUAUAGCAACGUAGUGUUGUGAUGCAGGGUCACUAUAGCAACAGAGUGUUGUGAUGCAGGGUCACUAUAGCAACAGAGUGUUGUGAUGCAGGGUCACUAUAGCAACAUAGUGUUGUGAUGCAGGGUCACUAUAGCAACAUAGUGUUGUGAUGCAGGGUCACUAUAGCAACAGAGUGUUGUGAUGCAGGGUCACUAUAGCAACGUAGUGUUGUAAUGUAGGUUCACUAUAGCAACAGAGUGUUGUGAUGCAGGGUCACUAUAGCAACGUAGUGUUGUGAUGCAGGGUCACUAUAGCAACAGAGUUAUAUUUGCUCUCUGCUCUCUCUUCUCUCUGUUCUCUGCUCUCUCUCUGUCCUCUCACUCUCUCUUUGCUUUCUCAGCCUGCUCUCUGCUCUCUCUCUCUGCCCUCUCUGCUCUCUCUCUUCUCUCUGUUCUCUGCUCUCUCACUUCCUCUGAUCUCUCUGCUCUCUCUCUCUGCUUUCUCUCUCUCCCUCUGCUCUCCCUGAUC